rnacentral:rRNA from 1 species
AGAGGGUGCAAGCGUUAAUCGGAAUUACUGGGCGUAAAGCGCGCGUAGGUGGUUCGUUAAGUUGGAUGUGAAAUCCCCGGGCUCAACCUGGGAACUGCAUCCAAAACUGGCGAGCUAGAGUAGGGCAGAGGGUGGUGGAAUUUCCUGUGUAGCGGUGAAAUGCGUAGAUAUAGGAAGGAACACCAGUGGCGAAGGCGACCACCUGGGCUCAUACUGACACUGAGGUGCGAAAGCGUGGGGAGCAAAC